AAUGAACGCUGGCGGCGUGCCUAAUACAUGCAAGUCGAGCGAAUGGAUUAAGAGCUUGCUCUUAUGAAGUUAGCGGCGGACGGGUGAGUAACACGUGGGUAACCUGCCCAUAAGACUGGGAUAACUCCGGGAAACCGGGGCUAAUACCGGAUAACAUUUUGAACCGCAUGGUUCGAAAUUGAAAGGCGGCUUCGGCUGUCACUUAUGGAUGGACCCGCGUCGCAUUAGCUAGUUGGUGAGGUAACGGCUCACCAAGGCAACGAUGCGUAGCCGACCUGAGAGGGGGAUCGGCCACACUGGGACUGAGACACGGCCCAGACUCCUACGGGAGGCAGCAGUAGGGAAUCUUCCGCAAUGGACGAAAGUCUGACGGAGCAACGCCGCGUGAGUGAUGAAGGCUUUCGGGUCGGAAAACUCUGGUGUUAGGGAAGAACAAGUGCUAGUUGAAUAAGCUGGCACCUUGACGGUACCUAACCAGAAAGCCACGGCUAACUACGUGCCAGCCGCCGCCGUAA
rnacentral:rRNA from 1 species